rnacentral:lncRNA from 1 species
CUGCGCCACCCGCUCAGGGCUCCCCCCACCAGGUGAGCUGGACCCUGGGGGUCUCCACAGACACCUCAGCUAGUCCUGACCUGCUGGCCAGACGCCCACCAGCCCUGCCUUCCAGAGGGCCCCGCUACAUCGUCUUCAUACCCCGGGGCCUCCCAGCCGCCCCACCUGCAGGGCUGCUAGAACUUUCUCCCGAGACAAAGCCUGCCAUUGUGCCUCCCUGGAGCCCGUCUCUGCAGUGGGGGGCAGGGUGUGUUGAGCGUCCCGGGUCCAGUGUCUCCGGCGUGUCCUGCAUCUCGGCAGCCAGCUCCUCUGCAGCUCAGGCCCCGUGAGUCACAGCCGCUUCCUCAAAUGCUUUGGCUGACCGCAUCCCCCCGCCCCGCCAGAACCCUGGAUGCCGGAGCCCUCCCAGCGAGAGCCGUGUUUAUUUUACUUUACAUACAUUUUCCAACACGGAGCGGCUUGCACACAUGCAGCUCUUAGGCCCGGGCCGCACGUCUCAGAAGCCCCGUGUGCGACUUUGACCGCCGCACGAUCCUCUGCCGGGGGAGGUGGGCCCGCUGCGCUUUGGGAGCACCCGCGCCCGACACUGAGGUCUCGGUGCUGUGUUCGGCCUCUUCGUCCCUGCGGGUCCCCUCUGGGAGCAGAGGCGGUCGGAAAACCCUGGGGCUGAAGUGCAGGCUUCGGGAGGACGCGACCUGCCAAGAUCAGCUCCCGGCACGUGAUGGGAGCCUGGCUCACCUUCCCCCAGCGCACGAUGGGCCGCAGCCUCCCCGGUCGGCCUGGCCUGCUGGAAAGGAGCAGCUCUGUUUCCAGAGGCUUCUGGCGAAGCCCACGGCCUCCCAUUGUUGGCUGAUUUAUAAGGAAAGAGGGGAAAGGCCAAGUGUGGAUGCCAUUAGCAUAACCUAAUCCAGACCCCAUGACAAGUCCAGGAUCCUGCAGGGAGAGGGCAUCCUUGAACGUGAAGGACUGGCUUUGGAAACUUGGCCUCCCGGAAGAAAGGUCUCCGGGCCCACCCACACCCACCUUGUGGACGCCCCCGCAGUCGAAUACACUCCACAGGAAGACGGACCACAAACAGCAGCAGCCUCCGGUGUCGGCCCAGUGAUCCGGGAGCUCAGAGUUGCAGCAAGCUUAAACUUCCUUAAAAACAAACCUCUGGGAAGAGGAAAACGAGGCAAGAUGCUGAGAAAAAGUCAUCUCCCACUCUGCCCUUCUCUGGCAAAUCGAAGUGUCCUCUUGUGGGAGGCGGUGGGCAGCGACACUCCUGUUGGACGUCAGUGCUCUCGGGAUGGGCCCGGCCACCCCGGAGCAGAACUCACUUAGGGCCUGGUGCCCCUGUGCCCAGUUCUCAGAACGUCGGAGUGCUCAGUUCUCAGAACGCCGGAGUGCCCCAUUCAUAACCUGCAGCCCCGUUCAUAGCCUGCAGCUCCCCUCCUUCCUCUCCUCCCGGUCGUCAGGGAGCACCCCCAGCUCCCCUCCCCACUCUCAAACCCUCCUCCUCCCUCCCCUCUCUCAUUUCCCUGUUUGCAGGAUCUCCUCCUGCCCACUCUCCAGCCCAGGUCCUCCCCUCUCAUCUCCAAUUCUGCUUCAUGGGCCAUGACAGCAGGCAGGCCAUGGCCUGCUCUCAGCAGUUUGAUCGAUGGACUAAGGAGAUCACUCCUAUGAGAGUGAAAAAGUCAAAUGUGCCUGAGAUUCGGAUGGGGAGCUCUCAAAGCUACGGAUUGCAAGAGUCAACACCGCCUCAAAAGUACAAGGCCGGCCGGGUGCAGUGGCUCACACCUGUAAUCCCAGCACUUUGGGAGACUGAGGCGGGUGGAUCACCUGAGGUCAGGAGCUCAAGACCAGCCUGACCAACAUGGUGAAAUCCCGUCUCUAUUAAAAAUACAAAAAAGAUUAGCCGGGUGUGGUGGUGCAUGCUUGUAGUCCCAGCUACUCGGGAGGCUGAGGCAGGGGGAGCACUUGAACCCGGGAGGUGGAGGUUGCAGUGAGCCGAGAUUGCACCAUUGCACUCCAGCCUGGGCAACAGAGUGAGACCCUGCCUCAAAAAAAUAAAAAAAUAAAAGUACGAGGCCCGGUUUAAAUGCAGGAGGAAUCUGGUGAGCGAGUUUCACUCUGAUGCAACAGAAAAGCCAAGCCAAGCCUUGGCUGUGCCUGGUCUUGGCCGGGGAGCCACAGGCAGGGUCUGCUGGUUUCGGUGUCAGGGGCACAUCCCCAGGACCACGUCUGAGAUGGGAAGUGCCUUGAUGGAAAACUGAUACCUUUUUCUUUCCGAGUAACUUUAGAACAUGUCGCUUCAAAUAUAACUAAUAUCCUGAUUUCAGUGGACUUGCAUGGAAGGAAACGCAAGUUCAUUUGCCAGUGGGGGGUGAGGACUGGGAGAGUGGGGAGCAGGGUGGGGAAGAGGGGAGCAUUCCACAAGCCGCAAGAGCCUGGACACCUCCAGCCUUCAAUAAAUAGCAUUUGAAUUUGCUGUGCCUAAUUCAACCUUGCAUUUGCGUAGUGAAAGUCAGGCCCGCGGUGUGUAUAGUUUGGCACAUGAGUUCAGCUCGGGUCCCCUUGAUCUGCUUCUGUGUUCUCACUCUCUCCCUGCCCGGCACGCCCCUCUUUUUCUAUCCAGAUGAGCGAAGGGGUGAAUUAGUCCAGAAAUGUUUCUGCUCCAGUCAAACAAACAUUAUCACCUGUCAGUCAAACAUUAUCACCUGUCAGUCACCAGAGACGUGCACGGGUGCCUUCUCCUUUGCCUCGAGGUUUCUAUGACCUGGGAAAAGCCCAUCCCAUUCCCGGAUGAGGCUUCCCUGCCACGGGUCACAGACACACGAGCUACGCCCCACCUUGCCAAAACUUUCAAGGUGGGAUGGAAGAAUCUGUCGUUUCUGCAUUUACGAUCCCGUACGUGUUCCGUGCUGCAUCUGUUCUGGUUGGGUUGUCUCUCCUCUCAAGGCCUCUUUUGACCCAAACUUACUGCAAAGCAGAUGAGUGAGCCAGAAGCUGCGCUGGGCGUUGGGGGUUGUGGCA